ACAUCUCCCCUUUGCAAUUUAUAUCCCCUCUAGCUCGGAAAUUCCAAAAGAAGAGUUUGCUUCCAUCUAAGCCAGUCUCCAGUUUCUGAGUGCUGCCGGCUGGUGCUCCCAGAAUUACUCUCUCACGCUCCAGAGUUACUUCGGCUAUCAAGGGCAUUUUGAGUUGUCCCAGGCUUCCAGAUGAGUUAUGAGAAACUGGCAGUGGUAGCAGUGGUAUCCAAACCAGAGAUGCAAGAAGUGUUGAUACCAGGCCAAAUUCGGAUGGAAAUAGUCAUUCUCCUUAUAGGCCCAUGAAAGCUUAGAAUCGUGCAAAGCAUUCAGAGGAAGGCUUCCUCCACGGCAUCAUCUGACAAGCAUUUACUAGCUGCUGAUCCUGGGUCCUUCCGGGUACCCACAAGGGAUCUCCUCUGCAAGAAAGACCACCUGGAGCUAAGCCAGCUGGAGAGAUAAUUAAUGUCAAAAUAUGAUAACCAAAAAUGGAUUGGAUCUGAGUAGUGCCCUUUUCCAUGUGGAAGUGGGAAGCUGGGAUUUCUCAGCUGCUGCUGAAAUUAAUCAUGAGGAUCCUGCUCUGCUGCCUGGCACCUGAACCCCGCAAACCGAUGACAUCAUGCCAUGAGAGCAGGAGGCCCAGUAUAUCACCGCGUUCCCUCGCUGGAUGCCAGUAUGCAGGGAGGAACACAAGAUGGCCCAUGGGGGCCAAAGCACCAGUUUCUCUGAUGACAAUAGCAUUGGAGAAUACGACUUGAAUCUGAAUGCAAAUGGGGUGUCCAGUCCUGCCUAGAAUUUGAGAUAACUAGUCCCACUGAAGAGCUGAGCAUGACUGGAAUCAAGCUCUGCUCAUCUAAGGUGGAGGAACAGAAACAUUUAAGAGCACCUGUGGUAGUCAGAGCAGCUGCACACCACAGUGAGAUGCCAGAGUGCUCGUCACUCAACAUAGGCAGAAUUGGGAGUGGGUGGCUCUUUUUAAUGGUAGUAGAGAGUACAGUCAUCCCUGGGUGUCUGCAGGAGAUUGGUAAUAGAACCUCCCAAUGCUCAAGUUCCCCGUAUAAAAUGGUAUGGUGUUUGCCUAUAACUCACACACAUAUUCCUAUGUGCUUUAACAUAUCUACAGAUUACCAAAUGAUACCCAAGGGAAUGUAAAUGCUAUGGAAAUAGUCAUUCUAGUAUUUUAAGGAUUAGUCACAAGAAAAACUAUCUGUACAGUUGCAAUUUUUUCCCCUAAAUGUUUUCUAUCCUGUUUGUUGAAUCUGUGAAUUGGAAACCCAGAUAGGAAAGGCCAACUGUAUACACCUGCCCCCACUCCCAGUUUCAAGCCCAUUGCCCUUACUCACAGGUGAAAGACAGGGCUGGGGCUCAAAACUCGUGAACGUGAAGUAGAGGUGGGAAAACACCCCUUUUAUUUUCAAGUUUCCAAUAAUUGCUACUUCUCUGAUUCAAUAUAUUAUAGGGAAAUUGCUCGUGGGAAAAUAAUAAAUUUGUCUUAUGGCUUAAUCAACUUAACAUGA